GAUUAACGCGAAGAACCUUACCUGGCCUUGACAUGCUACUAACGAAGCAGAGAUGCAUUAGGUGCCCGAAAGGGAAAGUAGACACAGGUGCUGCAUGGCUGUCGUCAGCUCGUGUCGUGAGAUGUUGGGUUAAGUCCCGCAACGAGCGCAACCCUUGCCAAUAAUUGCCAUCAUUUAGUUGGGCACUUUAUUGGGACUGCCGGUGACAAACCGGAGGAAGGUGGGGAUGACGUCAAGUCCUCAUGGCCCUUAUGGCCAGGGCUUCACAUGUAAUACAAUGGUCGGUACAGAGGGUUGCCAACCCGCGAGGGGGAGCCAAUCCCAGAAAGCCGAUCGUAGUCCGGAUUGCAGUCUGCAACUCGACUGCAUGAAGUCGGAAUCGCUAGUAAUCGCGGAUCAGCAUGUCGCGGUGAAUACGUUCCCGGGCCUUGUACACACCGAAUC
rnacentral:rRNA from 1 species